GCUCAGAUUGAACGCUGGCGGCAGGCCUAACACAUGCAAGUCGAGCGGUAGCACAGAGAGCUUGCUCUCGGGUGACGAGCGGCGGACGGGUGAGUAAUGUCUGGGAAACUGCCUGAUGGAGGGGGAUAACUACUGGAAACGGUAGCUAAUACCGCAUAAUGUCGCAAGACCAAAGUGGGGGACCUUCGGGCCUCAUGCCAUCAGAUGUGCCCAGAUGGGAUUAGCUAGUAGGUGGGGUAACGGCUCACCUAGGCGACGAUCCCUAGCUGGUCUGAGAGGAUGACCAGCCACACUGGAACUGAGACACGGUCCAGACUCCUACGGGAGGCAGCAGUGGGGAAUAUUGCACAAUGGGCGCAAGCCUGAUGCAGCCAUGCCGCGUGUAUGAAGAAGGCCUUCGGGUUGUAAAGUACUUUCAGCGGGGAGGAAGGCGAUAAGGUUAAUAACCUUGUCGAUUGACGUUACCCGCAGAAGAAGCACCGGCUAACUCCGUGCCAGCAGCCGCGGUAAUACGGAGGGUGCAAGCGUUAAUCGGAAUUACUGGGCGUAAAGCGCACGCAGGCGGUCUGUCAAGUCGGAUGUGAAAUCCCCGGGCUCAACCUGGGAACUGCAUUCGAAACUGGCAGGCUAGAGUCUUGUAGAGGGGGGUAGAAUUCCAGGUGUAGCGGUGAAAUGCGUAAAGAUCUGGAGGAAUACCGGUGGCGAAGGCGGCCCCCUGGACAAAGACUGACGCUCAGGUGCGAAAGCGUGGGGAGCAAACAGGAUUAGAUACCCUGGUAGUCCACGCCGUAAACGAUGUCGAUUUGGAGGUUGUGCCCUUGAGGCGUGGCUUCCGGAGCUAACGCGUUAAAUCGACCGCCUGGGGAGUACGGCCGCAAGGUUAAAACUCAAAUGAAUUGACGGGGGCCCGCACAAGCGGUGGAGCAUGUGGUUUAAUUCGAUGCAACGCGAAGAACCUUACCUGGUCUUGACAUCCACAGAACUUAGCAGAGAUGCUUUGGUGCCUUCGGGAACUGUGAGACAGGUGCUGCAUGGCUGUCGUCAGCUCGUGUUGUGAAAUGUUGGGUUAAGUCCCGCAACGAGCGCAACCCUUAUCCUUUGUUGCCAGCGGUUCGGCCGGGAACUCAAAGGAGACUGCCAGUGAUAAACUGGAGGAAGGUGGGGAUGACGUCAAGUCAUCAUGGCCCUUACGACCAGGGCUACACACGUGCUACAAUGGCAUAUACAAAGAGAAGCGACCUCGCGAGAGCAAGCGGACCUCAUAAAGUAUGUCGUAGUCCGGAUUGGAGUCUGCAACUCGACUCCAUGAAGUCGGAAUCGCUAGUAAUCGUAGAUCAGAAUGCUACGGUGAAUACGUUCCCGGGCCUUGUACACACCGCCCGUCACACCAUGGGAGUGGGUUGCAAAAGAAGUAGGUAGCUUAACCUUC
rnacentral:rRNA from 1 species